CGGCAGGAACAAGCCACGGCCACACCGCAGGGCCCCGCCCGGGCGCAGGGCGGCCCGGCCGCCGCUUCCGCCCUCUCCGCCCCCAACCCCUCGCCUUCCUGCCCCCAACCCCACCCUUCCCCGGCUCCUUCCUUCCCAGCCCACGCCCGCGCCGCGCCCCCCGGGAAGAAGGAGGGGAGAGCGACCGAGGGAGGGCGCCCAGCAGGGCCGGCCAAAGUGGGGAGGUGGCGGGCGCUGACUGCGCCCCUCAACACCCGGCCGGAACAAUGUGCGCCACCGGCCAGCUCCAGCCCAUUCAUUCUCCACUGCCCGCCCGACCUGCCACCUUCGCGCCGGCGGAGAAGCGGGGUGGGGAGGGGCGGGCCGGGGGGGGGGGUCUAGUGCCCGGCCCCGCCCGGCUCCCAGGCCGAAACGCUGCGCUGCAGGCAGCCCGGGUGCGGCGCUAGUGGAUGCAGUGGGUGCGGGGCUGGGCGGGGGGCAGGGGGAUUGGAUGCAGAAACCCCCGCUGCAGUUGCGGCCGGAGCCCCUGCCCGUGGACGGCCUACGACCAAGUCCAGCUCCAAGGGGAACCAAUAAAUGAAGCUCCCUGGCAGAGGUCGCCGAGAUGCAAAUCCAAAAUGCAACCUCCUUUAAGCGCAGCUGCUGCGUAACACUCAGAAAAGAAAAACCUCCAAGAACCAAAAACAAACAAAAAACAAACAAAACAACUAGAAAUCUGGGAAGAAAUCUCGGGCAGCUGCUACGCCGGCAUUUGCCACUCCCGACCUAC
rnacentral:lncRNA from 1 species